GACUCGAUGGCGGAUGGUCCGCGCUUGCUUUCGCUUGCUGGCAGCAUCCGUAUGUAGGCAGGUACACCGGUUCGAUUCCGGGUUGAGUCU